ACCGCGCCUGCGCAGCUGCGGGCUGCCCCUGGACAUCUCUGCCUCUCCAUCAGAAAUAUCUGCUGCUGUGUCCUGGAGGAAAGGCUGUGAGCCACAGUUACCCUGCUCCCCCACUAGGUGAUAUCUCAAGCUGGCCUUUUCCUGAAGAGAUGCUGACAGCUGCUCACCAGGACUCUGCACGGUUACCAGGCUUCAGACUCAAGAGGUGGAUGCAAAGUGAGUUGUGCAGCUAAGUCGCAUUGAACAACAGUAGAAAAAAAAUAACGCCUUUGAUGCCGCCAAUGACGAGAGGGUUUGGGUGCGGCUGCCCGAACGCUUUAGCAACAGAGGAAUGCACAGCAGCGGAGAAAACGCAGCAGUCCUUCCAGCCGUUCCCAAAGUCGUUUCUGUUUUUGAAAGACAAUAUUCCUACAUGACUCCCAUCUUUCAUACCCCCCACCCACCGAUCGAUUCCUUCACUUCUCUAACCCCCCCCUCUUGAAUUUGUUGACAUAAUAAUCUGCCCCCAGCCCCCACUCCCCACCCACAUCGUCCAUUCCACACAUUCGUUGCUGUCUGUGCAAACUGCCUACAUCUGAAUUGUCUGUCCAUUUUCUCUCUUUUGAGCCCGAGUUGCUUGCCCUCCUUGUUGUAGACUUCAUGACCAUAUUAAUCUCUCAUUAGGGUUCAGUUUACCUAAACCCUUUGGCUCGUGUUGUUCGUGCAAAGCUUCCGAUUAUUGCAAUAAUGAGAAUAUAGCUGGGAAUUUCAAUGGUAAUUUAUGUGUAGGUAAACCUGCAUCUGAAUAAUCCAACUGUGUGAGUGAGGCUGAGCACCUCAGCAGUCAGUGCUGUGACUUUUGCCAGUGACUUGUGCUAUUGAAAGCUGGCUGGAAAUUCAAUGCACCGCUCUCUGUGAGGUGGACAGUGUCUGCCUACAGAAACUUACAGAUGUAAUUAUCCCCAAGCUCAGUGACCAUUGUGAAAUGGGAAAAUUUCAUUCUUGUGGUGGGUUAUGAUAUCAUCGUCCGAGCCAACAAUCCCACAGACUAAAAAAUAGGGGUUGUUCACUUCCUGGCUGCUUGUGGGCCAUUGUAGUGCCCUAAUCGGCUGCCUUGUUUGCUUCCAAAUACACAGUUACGACACUGCACAA